CUGAAUCAAUAGCUCAUCAAUCAUACUAGCCAGAGUCACCCCACGUGACCUGUACGACUUAUCCAUAUCUCGUCAAUCAAUGCUAGCAUAUAAGUUGGAGUCACCUAUAAUGACCUGUACGACUUAUCCAUAACUCAUCACAUAUCUCAUCACAUAUGCUAGCUCAUCACAUAUCUCAUCACAUCUGCUAGCUAGCUCAUAACAUAUUUCAUCACAUAUCACAUAUCUCAUCACAUAUGCUAGCUCGUCACAUAUCUCAUCACCUAUGCUAGCUCAUAGCAUAUUUCAUCACAUAGGCUAACUCAUCACAUAUUUCAUCACAUUGCCAGCUCAUCACAUAUUUCAUCACAUAUGCUAGCUCAUCACAUAUCUCAUCACAUAUGCUAGCUCAUCACAUCUCAUAAUUCAUACCGAUAAAAUACACAUUAUACUGCAAUGCGAUGAGCUAGCAUAUGUGAUAUGAAUUCUGAGAUGUGAUGAGCUAGCAUAUGCGAUGAGCUAGCGCAUCACGGAUUUCCAAUCCGUUUUUCCAAAGAUACACAUUAUACUGCAAGAGCAACAUCCUAAAGUCCCAUUACGAUCCAACGGUCGGAUUUCCGUCAAUUACCAAGACCAAGUGGCAGUUAACCUUUAAUUUUAUGAACUUACAAAUCCAAUUCGGGAAGAUUCGUAUAUCAGAUUCCUAAUCCGUAAGUUCCUAUGGUCCUCAAUAUUACGUAUUAUAACAUAUUAAAUUUUGGUGAUAAUCCAACGGUCGGAUCAUCGAUUCAUGUUUUUACCAAGUAACAUAUCUUAAUGAAUUUAGGUCCAAACGAUCAACCUAUAUUAUACAAUUACCAAAACUAAACUCAAGGCAUCUAAUUUAGCCUAAGAAUAACAUUCACGGUCGCCGGGCCACGCACCGCAGCGGGUGGCGGUCGGCC
rnacentral:lncRNA from 1 species